rnacentral:rRNA from 1 species
UGCGUAGGUGGUUCUGUAUGUCGGAUGUGAAAUCCCGAGGCUCAACUUCGGAACUGCGUCCGAAACUGCAGAACUUGAGUGCAGGAGGGGAGAGCGGAAUUCUUGGUGUAGCGGUGAAAUGCGUUGAUAUCAAGAAGAACACCGGUGGCGAAGGCGGCUCUCUGGAAUGUUACUGACACUGAGGCACGAAAGCUGGGGGAGCAAACAGGAUUAGAUACCCUGGUAGUC